AAGGGCAUUGUGCUACCAGCACACGGUGCCAGGCUGUACAUGCCUGCAGUGAAAUUAAGAGCCCAGAGCAAGUGCAAGGGCAAGAUCCCUUCUGGAAAAUGAAUAAAUCAAUAAUCGAGGUGGCUUCUGCUCCUUGCGAUCCUUGUCCUUAGGGCUCGGCCAGGCCUUACGACUUCUUUGCAUCUUGUGUGUUCCUCCGCUUCAGGUCGCUCAGAUCCACGGGCUUAAACGCUUUCAGGCUGGGGUUCGGCAUCUUCUCCACGUACUCCUCGACCAGGCCGCGCUCGGAGCCCAUCUGGCUGCGCAGGUCGCGCUCCACGCACUGCCAGGCCUCGUAGAUGAAGCGCACGUUCUCCUCGUGGGCCGGCGUGAAGAUCUCGCUGCCGGCGCCGGGGGAACGCGGGCCGCCGCUCCGCUUGCCGUUGUAAACGACGCGAGACACGGGGGAGCUGGCCAUGGCGCGGUGCGUGCGGCGGCGCGGCUCGGCUCGGCGCGGCUGGGCCCGACUCCCGCCUCCGCUCGCCCUCGGGCCGCCACGGAAGCGCCGCAGCGCGCAGGCGCGGUCCCGCCCCCCGAGCCGACGCGGCCCCGCCCAGACGUCACGUGGCCCCGCCCCUCCCCGCUCUCCCCCCCCCC
rnacentral:lncRNA from 1 species